GACACGUGGGAAACUCACUGGCUCUCCACAAGCCAGAAGUCAGGUCAGAGAUCAGCACAAGACAGAGGUCACCACACAAUUUCUAAAAAUCCAAGACUAUAGACCUCAUAUAUUUGAUAGGAUAAAAAAAAAGGCAGUUCAUAAGUACUAAAAUACACUUUAUUCAGAGAAAUUCCCAUUUAAAUUAUAUUGGCUUUUGGUACAUGAACGUACAUUAUAUAUAAAACACCACACUUUCCAAAAGUUUACGAUGUUCCUUUUUAGAAUAUAUGACUUAGUUUACUCUGUAGUUCUAUUUAUUUCAAAGUAAAUAUGACAUAUUGAGGAAGCAUUUAUAAGCCAUCUAGAAUACAAUUAUUACUCUAUAAAUAUUAAUAUUCAAAAUGGGAACAAAACUAGUGGUAAAGAUGUGAGCAAGCAGUCUUUUAAACACAUAUUCAGAAUGCUAGAUGGAGGUGUCUUUAACACCCAUGUAUUAUUUCAGCGAAUAUGACCGCACCUCGGGUUUCCAGAGAUGGCCAUGAAGUCACCCAGGUGUGUCAGUGGACAAGGAAACUUCAGAUCAACUCUUCUGGGCUGGCCUAACAGCAGAACUAGGUCAGCUUUGGAGUCACCGGCCACGGGUGGGUAAGAGAGGCUCCCAGCAGGCCAGACAACGGCUCAACUACACAUGCAGGUCACGUGCUGUAUAGCAGGACCGGAAGCAACCUCCACGGUGUCUUCUAGGCUGGGACUCCAGGCUGGCUUAGCGUCUGGUCUAGCAUCUCACUCCAAAGCCAAGUGGAAAUGAAGCACAGCUUACCCCAGGUGUGUGCACACGCACGCACACACACAUACACACCACAGUUUCUCUCCAUCUACCUUCCUCCCUGUGCCCCCACAGGUAGACACUGGUUGAACGCUGGAGGGUGAAUCCUACAGAGGGGACGGCAUGAACAGCAAACAGCACCCAAGUCCUGUCCUGUGGCCGGGCGGCCUCUAAAACAGUGGGAACCGUAGGCACCCAGUUCAAAUCAACGAGGAAUACAAACCGAGUCAAGAUAAAAUAUGAAGAUUCAAAAACUUCUGCAUUGUCCCCUGUUCGGUUCGUGAAAAACCCAUCUGCAGGACUUCCCUGGGGUGUCACUCUGGGAGGGCGACUGCAGAGGCAGAUUCGAUCACUGCAGAGAAGACAGAACCUCCUUCACCACGUGCUUGGGAAAUCGGCCAAGGAUUUUAUGUACUUACAACCAUCCUCACUUUUCCCAGAAGGAAAUCCAGUUUAACUAACUGCGGACUGCCAACGGCACUGUGGCCAGCACUUAAUUUUAACUCCUCUCUUAGCACAUCAAUGUAGUCAGACCAAAUCUAGACUCACAUAUUUCCUGAACUCCUUCCUGUCCAUCUCCUGAGGCAGGAUGAGGUUUGAGUCAGCACUGGGCAUACACUAAGCAGGUUCUACCAUGAACUAUACUGCAGCACAGUUAAAAAAAAGGGGGGGGGGGCGAGGAUCAGAAACAUAAACAAAAAAACAUAAGACCUAGUUCUUAGACAAACACAGACAAACACGAAUGUAAUCAGGACUGCGUGCGCACAUACACCUCAAUUUUAAAAAGAAGCCAAAUAAACAGACGUGCCUUUCACUUUUGGCAUUUUCAGGUAAGGUGCUGACCAUGAACAGGAGUCUCUCAGACCCGCUGGGAACAGAGCAGAGUACAGUACCUUUUUUGGUUUCCCAGCACUCCUGAGACAGAACACCAACAAAAUGGAGCUUUGCUCGGCAAU